rnacentral:lncRNA from 1 species
AGGUAACAGGCCAAAGACAAUUGAAAGGUAAAGCAGAUGAAGGCAUAUUUAUCGGUACAGUUUUACUGAGGAAGAAGUAGCUUUUGCUGUAGAUCUCAUAUUAAUUCAUGGAAUUCUUUCUGGACAAGAGGAAACAAGAAAUGUAAUUCUUUCUUCAGUAGAGCAAAGAGACAGAUUCACUAUGAUCUAUUUGAAUACUGGAAGUGAUAAGGAGUGUCUUGUGGAGUUGUGGAAUCUGUGAGAGCAGUUGUCUGAUCUGAGAAUACACCAAAUAAAGCAUCAUCUUUACUGGAGACUUCCUUGCA